UGCGCGCGACGUGAAGAGCAGGAGAGAAAGGGGGAGAACCAAACCCUAACAACACAAAAUCAGUCAAAUUGGAAAGGAAUUUGAGGGCUAAACGAAUGCAUGAACUAAGCACUAUGAUCCCCUAAGUGUUCCUAACAUCAAGAGUCAUGUCAACAAGAGCACAAACGAGGAAGUGCCACGGGUUGAAGGUAAACAUGGAAGCUAUGUGCAAAUUCGGACGCAUGAGGUACCAUACGGAUUUCUUCUUCUUCUACUAACGAAGAUGAGCGGACGAAGAUCGAGUCAAGAGCAAGGAUUGUACGAGAAGGAUCGGUCACAUAGUUUAACAAAUGUAGGUCCGAAGUAUUAAUAUAAUGGAACGUGGUAAAUACUUUUUAAUGACUGUAUGACAUUUGGUAUUCGAACUUUCCUGUAAGUACUAUGUCUAUUAAAGAACGAAAUUUUGGGUUCAUAUUUUCCGCUGUGUUGUAUUUUUAAGUUAUUACAAGUUAGUC